CUACGUGCCAGCAGCCGCGGUAAUACGGAAGGUCCGGGCGUUAUCCGGAUUUAUUGGGUUUAAAGGGAGCGUAGGCUGGAGAUUAAGUGUGUUGUGAAAUGUAGACGCUCAACGUCUGACUUGCAGCGCAUACUGGUUUCCUUGAGUACGCACAACGUUGGCGGAAUUCGUCGUGUAGCGGUGAAAUGCUUAGAUAUGACGAAGAACUCCGAUUGCGAAGGCAGCUGACGGGAGCGCAACUGACGCUGAAGCUCGAAGGUGCGGGUAUCGAACAGGAUUAGAUACCCUGGUAGUCCGCACAGUAAACUAUGGAUGCCCGCUGUUGGUACCUGGUAUCAGCGGCUAAGCGAAAGCAUUAAGCAUCCCACCUGGGGAGUACGCCGGCAACGGUGAAACUCAAAGGAAUUGACGGGGGCCCGCACAAGCGGAGGAACAUGUGGUUUAAUUCGAUGAUACGCGAGGAACCUUACCCGGGCU
rnacentral:rRNA from 1 species